rnacentral:rRNA from 1 species
AAGGGUCCGUAGGCGGAUCUGUAAGUCAGUGGUGAAAUCUCACAGCUUAACUGUGAAACUGCCAUUGAUACUGCAGGUCUUGAGUAAAUUUGAAGUGGCUGGAAUAAGUAGUGUAGCGGUGAAAUGCAUAGAUAUUACUUAGAACACCAAUUGCGAAGGCAGGUCACUAAGAUUUAACUGACGCUGAGGGACGAAAGCGUGGGGAGCGAACAGGAUUA